GUGAGCCUCUGAGGCUAGAGAAAUCUGCCAGGAAUCGCGGGACUCACUGAGACAAGGAUUGGGUAGAGGCAGUUUCCUUUCUUGUGGAUCACAAAGUAUUGAGUAGAAGCUCUUCCUCAGAAACUUCUGAGGAACUCUCUUGGAUAGGAGGCACCUGAUAACUCUUCAAGAAGAGGUCUCAUGAGAAGGAUCCUGGAAAAGGAUUGGGAAAGGAAGAACAAUGCUAUGGCAGCAGAGUGCCUGGUACCAAAAAGGAGUGAGCUGCUGAUGGAGCCACUUCCCCUUCAGUCCAGUGAACUCAGAGCACUUGUGCACAUUUUGACAUUGGUGACAACUCUCAGUACCAAGGACAAUUCCCGAAGUUAAGAAGGUGCUGAUCAUAGCAAGGCCUUUGAAGAUCCAGUGCCUUUCUGGAUGUUGGUGCCAAAGACAGCAACAACUUGGAAUUCAGCGGGUAAAAGACGAAGGCCCACCAAACACUAAGGGAGUGGAGUCUUUGUUCAUCUGCAGAAGCAUUCAGUUUUGGGAAGAUCAGAGAGCCCAUUUCUUGGUUGGGUAACUGUCACCGAAACAGAAAAAGGGUUUAAACCCUUGCUGAAUGGACUCCUGGAUUAGCAAGAUAUCAUUAUAUAGUGGAAAAGCCUGACUGAGGUUCUGGGUCCCCAUUGGAACAAAAUUAGGUAAACUGAAGAGUUUACCAAGCCUGAAAAUUUCAAAUUGUGGUGCUGUAGCCUUAAGCUUCCCAGUAAUUCCCAGGAUGUGUGAGGAUAUUGCCUUGUUGAGAGCUGAUCAUUUCUUUAUAACUCUUUAAAGGAAUUCUAUUAACUUCAUCUCACUAAAAGCAGCUUCAAUGAGAUUUGCCUCAGGAAGUGGUAUCCAGACAGACCUCCAGGAUAAGAUUCUACAUAAAGAAGUAUUGCAAAAAAGCACAGAAAAUCUGGUAGUCUUAUGAGGCUACAUUUUGGAAGCCUAGUUGCAACCUUGUAGCUAAAGCUGAGUUCUAUUUUGCAUACAAGGAUUAAACCUUUGCUUUGCAUAAAAUAAGUAUCCAGUAUUAAACCUGGAGCAGCUGAUAUGAGAUUUGAUGAAUAAAGAAUUAAAGGAAGGUAACAUAAUGCCAAUGAACAUGGGUAUAUGGAAAACAGACAUCGUGAAACUAAUUUGGUAUUUUUUUUAAAUGAGAUGACAAGUUUAAUUGAUAAAGGUAAUUGUGUUGAUGUAAUAUACUCAGUCUUCUCUAAGGUAUUUGAUUUGGUACUGCAUGAAAUUUUGAUUAAAAAAGCUAGAAUGAUAUAAAAUAUCACAUUAAAUAGAUUAAAAGCUGGCUAAAUGAUAGGUCUCAAAAUGUACUGUAAAUGGGGAAUCAUCAUUGAGUGGGUGUGCUCCUAAUGGGGUCCUGGAAGGAUCUGUUUUUGACCCUAUGCUAUUUAAACAUUUUUAUUAAUGACCUAAAAGAAAAAACAAAAUCAUCAAUGAUAAAGUUGCAGAUGACAAAAAUUGGGGAAGUGGUAAGUAAUGAAGAGCACCAGUAAUACAGAGCAAUCUCAAUUGGUUGGUAAACUCGACUCAAGCAAAUAUGUAUUUUAAUAUACCUUUAACUGUAUACAUCUAGGAAUGAAGAAUGUAGGCCAUACUUACAUGAUGGGGGACUCUACUCUGGGAAACAGUGACUCUGAAAAAGAUUGAGGGG